GUGGGGAAUCUUCCGCAAUGGGCGAAAGCCUGACGGAGCAACGCCGCGUGGGUGAAGAAGGCCUUCGGGUUGUAAAGCCCUGUCUUCAGGGAAGAAGAAAGUGACGGUACCUGAGGAGGAAGCCACGGCUAACUACGUGCCAGCAGCCGCGGUAAUACGUAGGUGGCAAGCGUUGUCCGGAAUCAUUGGGCGUAAAGGGCGCGUAGGCGGUCAAUUAAGUCAGAUGUGAAAACUCUGGGCUUAACCGAGAGAUUGCAUUUGAUACUGGUUGACUUGAGUGCAGGAGAGGACAGUGGAAUUCCUAGUGUAGCGGUGAAAUGCGUAGAUAUUAGGAGGAACACCAGUGGCGAAGGCGGCUGUCUGGACUGUAACUGACGCUGAGGCGCGAAAGCGUGGGGAGCAAACAGGAUUAGAAACCCCAGUAGUCC
rnacentral:rRNA from 1 species